GAAGAUCAGUGUGACCAAAAACUUCCUUUCAUGUGCCACUACGAGAAAAAGCAGCAGCUUCGGAUCAAGCUGAGGGUUCUGAAAUCCACAAUGGACCUGAAUGACCCCGCUGUGACGGAGGCCAUCCAGAAACUGCUGGAGAAGAAGCUGAAAGAGAAAGGGAUCACAGCAGGGUUCAAACUUAGAUGGGUUAAGAAGCCUGACAACACCAUCUUUGAGGAAGAGAAGGAAGAGAAGGAUGAACUGUAAACUGUAUUUACAGGAUAUCUUUCAUUUGUUUUACUUUGAAGGUUCAUGUUUUAGGUUGACAUGUUAGAGCCAACUAAUAAAUAUCAAACUGUCAUGUGAGACAUUUAUUGUUUUGGAGUAGAGCAGAGUCAAUUGUUCAGAAAACUGAACAAAUAUCUUAUUUAUCCUGUUGCUGUGUUGAUAAAUUCAUGGUAGGGCAGAUUUACAGCUGAUUUUAUGCAACAUACAUGUGGAAAUCUACACAUUUAAACUGUGAAAACUUUCUCAUGUGAAAAUGUUGUAAUGAACUGCAGAGACAUCAGCGUAUCCCUGUAAAGCUGGAUUCAUUUAUAGAGCAUGUUGUUGGAUAUUUCAGAGUGAUGUGUGAUGUAUUAGGAUUUAAUAUUGUAGCUUUGUAAGAAAAUCUCUGAGGUCAUGAGAGUUGUGAAGGAAAAAUGACUCUUUCCCCUUUCUAAGGUCAUAAUGGCCUUUAGACAGACAGACACUGCAGGAGAUCAGAUAUCGUCUAUUGUGAUGUGACUAAGCAGACCAGUUGUCUCCAUAUUGGUCUGUAAUCUCAAUCUGACCUUCUCCCAACUCC